UCGGGACUCCUGUGAAGGUGCUGCAUGGUUGUCGUCAGCUCGUGCCGUGAGGUGUCGGCUUAAGUGCCAUAACGAGCGCAACCCCUUUCUUCAGUUGCCAUCGGGUAAUGCCGGGCACUCUGUAGAUACUGCCGCCGUAAGGUGUGAGGAAGGUGGGGAUGACGUCAAAUCAGCACGGCCCUUACGUCCGGGGCUACACACGUGUUACAAUGGCCGGUACAGAGGGUCGGUCGUAUGCAAAUGCGAUCUAAUCUUUAAAUCCGGUCCCAGUUCGGACUGGGGUCUGCAACCCGACCCCACGAAGCUGGAUUCGCUAGUAAUCGCGCAUCAGCCAUGGCGCGGUGAAUACGUUCCCGGGCCUUGUACACACCGCCCGUCAAGCCAUGAAAGCCGGGGGUGCCUGAAGUCCGUGACCGGAAGGAUCGGCCUAGGCAAAACCCCUGUGGGUC
rnacentral:rRNA from 1 species